GAUUCUCGCUGGUUGUCUCUGUUGAUCCUGCAGCAGGUGUUGUGUGAAGCUCUGAUGAUUCUAGUUCUGACUGUCAUAAUAAGAGCACAGACAUUAAAAUGCGGUUUUAUUUUUAUAUAUAUAAAAUGUGUCGCAAAAAUGAAAUGCAUGAUGACUAAAUUAAAUUAAUCUCUCUCUAAUAAACUAAGUAGACAAAAAAAAAAGUCAGAGGACCUAAAGCAGGCCCUCCUGUGGUGAUUUUUGUGAAUUACACCGCUGCAAACUGAAUCUAAUGAACUUGAAGAGGAAUUUGUUCUGUUCUGUUCUUGUUAAAAUAUAUAUAUUAUUUUUUGUUUAAAUCAACAAUUUCUCAGGAAAUCAGAUUGACAGAACCUAAAGUGCAGCUUUGCCUCCGCUCCACUAGGCGGCACAAGCGGGUUUCAGCUUCAGUCUGACACCUCCGGCUGCUUGACAACAUGACGCUUGAUGACAGUCACAACAACAACACGCGCCGAUCCUACAGAAGACAGCUGUUAAUUUUAACAACAUGUUUUUCAGCUAAUCUGCAAAUAAAACCGACACACGCUCUGAUAAACGCUGGAUUCGAGUGUGACGCGACUCGCCUAAUGAGUGGUAUCUUGGUUGUAAACUGGUCCGGCUGAAGCAGAGCUCUGGGACGUGUGGACAGACAUUGACUGUAUUGAUGGACAUCUGCUCAUGGACAGGUAAUGUAUCUAAUGUAUGAAUGUGUGUUCUAGUGCACUAAACAUGUAGGUUACCAUCAUUUUCUUUUUGAAGGGCCUCCCCUUUGAAAAGCAAAUGAUGGUAACCUAAGUAGGUGGGGAAGGGACGGGGGAUGAGAGUUUUUAUGCAGCUUUAAUUUUUUUUUGUCUGUCCAAAAGCAUAACCGCUGCUGGUCACAGUGCCGGAAGCUCCGAGGGGGAAUCUUUUUUUAAUUGCAUGCGUCAUCUUACUAUGGCAAUGUU
rnacentral:lncRNA from 1 species